UGUCAUCUAAAACUUCGAUAUCUGAAAUUAGGAACCAAAAUUACAAUUGAGAAAUCAAAUUCAAGUUCUGAGAAAAUUUAAACCCACAACAUAAUUGCAGAUCCCCUGCAUUCAACAUCCAAAUUGGAUAGCCAAUCACGAACUUCGAAGAAAAAUGAGUCAUUUUCAUAAUAUUUGCCACACUCAUCAUCGAAAAUUUAUCAUGAAAAACAAUCUUUUUCCAGAAAAAAUAAACAGAGACCAAAAUUUAAACAACAUAACAAGCUAAUGAAAACCAAUCCAAAACAAAUUGAAUGAGAAUUUACCAGAAAAGAAAGAACAAAGAAGACCAAAGAAACGCUGAGUUGGUGAUGGCUUGUUGAUUCGGGUCGCGGUCACCUGGGCACUGGUUCGGGUCGCGCUCGUCUGGGUUUGCUGCUGCUGCACCGCCGCACGGGUUAGCUACUGCUGUGGGUUCGAGUGGCUGCUAAUACGUUGCGCGGCUGAUGCUCCUGGGUUGCUGCCGAGUUGCGGGCUGCACUGGCGUGGCUGCGUCCCUCAAGCUCAAUCGAUGAUAGAUGCACUACCGGCGGCUGUUUUUGUUGCUUGAUUGCUUCACUUGGUAUGGGUAGGUGAGUGUGAUUCGUGUGAGAGAGGUAGAGAGCAACGAGAGCGGCUAAGUGAGGGGAGAAUUUUUAGGGAUUUAGCUUUAGGUUUCUGCUACUUUGUUUUUUUUUCUUUUGUUAUUUGCUUAAAAUUACAAUAUUAAUCUUCAAAUUUUAAAAAGCUUUCAAAUAAAUUUAAGGAUAAAAAAGUAAU
rnacentral:lncRNA from 1 species